GACGAACGCUGGCGGCGUGCUUAACACAUGCAAGUCGAACGAUGAUCAGGAGCUUGCUCCUGUGAUUAGUGGCGAACGGGUGAGUAACACGUGAGUAACCUGCCCCUGACUCUGGGAUAAGCGUUGGAAACGACGUCUAAUACUGGAUACGACUGCCGGCCGCAUGGUCUGGUGGUGGAAAGAUUUUUUGGUUGGGGAUGGACUCGCGGCCUAUCAGCUUGUUGGUGAGGUAAUGGCUCACCAAGGCGACGACGGGUAGCCGGCCUGAGAGGGUGACCGGCCACACUGGGACUGAGACACGGCCCAGACUCCUACGGGAGGCAGCAGUGGGGAAUAUUGCACAAUGGGCGAAAGCCUGAUGCAGCAACGCCGCGUGAGGGAUGACGGCCUUCGGGUUGUAAACCUCUUUUAGUAGGGAAGAAGCGAAAGUGACGGUACCUGCAGAAAAAGCACCGGCUAACUACGUGCCAGCCGCCGCCGUAACAC
rnacentral:rRNA from 1 species